GCGUCUGUAGCCUAGUUGGUUAAAGGCAGCACUCUAGCAUGUUUCUCACAUCUUAUGCAAACUGCUGGCGAUUAUGCAAAAUCGCCUUCUGGUGGUUUGUGCUGCGCACCCGCGUGUUGCACACUUGGAUUACAAACCACCAGAAGGUGAUUUUGCAUAAUCACCUGCAUUUUGCAUAAGGUGUCAGUUAUACUGAGGUCGUGAGUUUGAAUCUCACCAGACACA